GAAGUAUACAAGAUACAAUGAAGGUAAAGAUAAGUUUCAAUGAAGAAUGGUGCUGAAGAACGGGGAGAUUUUUGGAGGAGCAUGUAAUGAGUUGACUUCAUGGGUUUGCAGUAUAAACCGAUGCUAUGGUGAUGGGUUGGAAGUGCAGGCAGAGCUGCAGUUGGACAAGUUCAUGGGCUCUGGUGUUAAUUGGUGAUUGCCAGCUGCUGUGAGACUGGGCCAGCCAUGGGAAGAAGGUGAGCCAUGGAAACCUGUAGUCUGUGCUGGAAAAUAAGUGACUGGGAAUGUGACUAACUUGCUGCAAGACGUUAUUUCUGGGACGUCUCUUGACCCGUGUGCACAGAUGAUGAACAAUUUCUCCUUUCUGGGUUGGCUUCUUUGCCUCUUGGUGCAGAAAUUGUCCUGAAAGCACGCCAGGAACCUAAGUCAUAGAGAAGUGCUCUGGAACUGGAGUGAGAACAACAUGCUUGAUGAAACAUGUCAAGCUACGUUAUAUUGUAGUUGGAUCUCAAUAAGGACUGCCUAAUCAAAAGGGCCCGCAAGAAGAACUGGGUUAUUUCAUGAAGGCUGAGGUCCUUCAGCAGAAAUGUGGCAUAAAUAGAGUGCAGUGGAUAGUCCUGUGUAUAAGAGGAAAAUUUUAAAUUCAAUGUUCUCUGAAACUCCAAAACCAGAAAGAAACAAAAGGAGAAAUCAAGCUACAGAGGAGAGGAAAACAUAAACUACAGCAGAUUACUUAUCUGCUCUCCUUUGAACUCACUCCUGCCUGUUGCCUUGAACAUUUCCUAUGCCUGUAGUAGGUGAAACAGGACAGGAAUUCUCUCUCAGACAAGGGAAAUGUCCUUUCCAAGCACAUAAGGAAAUCUGUUUUGCAGCAGCAGGUUCACUCCACAUGGAAUCUCUGUACUUUUAUGACAUGUACAGUUGGUUGUAAUGCCAUACUGGGUAUCAUGUAUAACAUCAAAGAGCUAAAUAAUAUCCCAUUCUCUGCAAAGGAUGGGUUUUUACUGCAGGGUAGAAUGAAAGCUGAGAGCUAAAAAUGUCAUCACCUGUUUGCUUCAAAAGUCAGGUGACAGUGGUGAAUGAUGCUCAGAAUUCCAGAAAAAGAACGGAAGAGUGGGUUUUCAGGUAUCCAAAGGGCCCUUGAAUUCAAUAUACCAUCAAGAUCCUGAAAAUCUGUGGCACAGCUGAACCUUUUGUGUCUGUAAGAAAAUUCUGUAUUCAGACUGGAUGAAGGGCCCAGACCAAGAACUCUUCUGCUGGAGGAAUUUUUCCAGAUGGUUUUUCCAGCAAAUGUUUCCCAUGGCAAUUCCAGCAGCGAGCACUCGGACAUCUGCUUCCCAUCACGGUGUGAAGUGUGAAGCAUCAGGUUUUUGUAGCUGUCCCACUAUUAAGUGAAGGCUGCCCUCCUCACCCUGGCCCGUGUCAAGGCCACUUCCCUGGGCUCUGCACACCUGAUUUGGGCUCUGCUCACUGCUGGCUGGGCUUGUGGAAAUGAGAGGUUUAGAAAUGGAAGGAUUGAGGGGAAAUCCAGCAUUGGCUUCACAGACACAGAAUUGCCAGAGGGUUGGGCAGAGCUGGGGCCAC